rnacentral:rRNA from 1 species
UACGAAGGGGGCUAGCGUUGCUCGGAAUUACUGGGCGUAAAGGGCGCGUAGGCGGACAGUUUAGUCAGAGGUGAAAGCCCAGGGCUCAACCUUGGAAUUGCCUUUGAUACUGGCUGUCUUGAGUUCGGGAGAGGUGAGUGAAAUGCCAAGUGUAGCGGUGAAAUGCGUAGAUAUCAAGAGGAACACCUGAGGUGAAGACGGGUUGCUGGGCUGACACUGACGCUGAGGCGCGAAAGCCAGGGGAGCAAACGGG